CGGCUAAGAAAGGACAAGACAAAGUCAACGGGAGUUAGCUCGAAAAUUACGGUUAAGUAAAGAUAGUACGUUGAAUCAGCAUCCCAGGAUGAUCCCGAAUUCAUUAAGGUUUCUUGGACUCGACUUUUUGCGUAUUCGGGACCGUCAUCGAAGUCAU